AGGGGCAGAGCAUUUGACUGCAGAUCAAGAGGUCCCCGGUUCAAAUCCGGGUGCCCCCU
rfam:Erinaceus europaeus unplaced genomic scaffold scaffold01251, whole genome shotgun sequence